GACGAACGCUGGCGGCGUGCCUAAUACAUGCAAGUCGAACGAAGCUGUUUUAACUGGUGCUUGCACCGACUUAAACAACUGAGUGGCGAACGGGUGAGUAACACGUGGGUAACCUGCCCCAAAGCGGGGGAUAACAUUUGGAAACAGAUGCUAAUACCGCAUAACCACAGAAACCACAUGGUUUCUGUGUCAAAGAUGGUUUCGGCUAUCACUUUGGGAUGGACCCGCGGCGUAUUAGCUAGUUGGUAAGGUAGUGGCUUACCAAGGCAAUGAUACGUAGCCGAACUGAGAGGUUGAUCGGCCACAUUGGGACGGAGCCACGGCCCAAACUCCUACGGGAGGCAGCAGUAGGGAAUCUUCCACAAUGGACGAAAGUCUGAUGGAGCAACGCCGCGUGAGUGAAGAAGGUUUUCGGAUCGUAAAACUCUGUUGUCAGAGAAGAACGUGUGCGAGAGUAACUGCUCGUGCAGUGACGGUAUCUGGCCAGAAAGCCACGGCUAACUACGUGCCAGCCGCCGCCGUAA
rnacentral:rRNA from 1 species